rnacentral:rRNA from 1 species
UUGAACGCUGGCGGCCUGCCUUACACAUGCAAGUCGAACGGUAACGGGCCUUCGGGUGCCGCCGAGUGGCGAACGGGUGAGUAAUACAUCGGAACGUGCCCGAUCGUGGGGGAUAACGAGGCGAAAGCUUUGCUAAUACCGCAUACGAUCUACGGAUGAAAGCAGGGGACCGCAAGGCCUUGCGCGGACGGAGCGGCCGAUGGCAGAUUAGGUAGUUGGUGGGAUAAAAGCUUACCAAGCCGACGAUCUGUAGCUGGUCUGAGAGGAUGAUCAGCCACACUGGGACUGAGACACGGCCCAGACUCCUACGGGAGGCAGCAGUGGGGAAUUUUGGACAAUGGGCGCAAGCCUGAUCCAGCCAUGCCGCGUGCAGGAUGAAGGCCUUCGGGCUGUAAACUGCUUUUGUACGGAACGAAAAGCCUUCUUUUAAUACAGGAGGGUCAUGACGGUACCGUAAGAAUAAGCACCGGCUAACUACGUG